rnacentral:lncRNA from 1 species
CCUUCCGCCGCCGGGCCCAACGUUUCUUUCUCUGCGGUCUACGGCAAGCGAAGUUUGACAGCGCAGUUAUAUCACCACGUGUAAAACCUGCACAAUGUACGCUUAUGUGCGCUUCAAGGACGACGGCGUGAAGGUUGUCUGCAUCAAAGACUUCGACAACAAACAAUGGUACAGUGUACGCUGGGAUGACGAAAACAGCGGAUAUUUCAGAGCCCAGAUUAUGAAGUUGUUUGGUGAGUAUGCUUUUGUUGUUCAUUGUUUGAUGGUGCAAUUUCAGGGACAAUCGAUAUAUGCACAUCGCGUGUACCUGUUUUCAGUAACCAAAGAGGAGGCUGAUGCUUCCGCGGAAAGCUCGAGCUAGAGAUCUUCCUGCCCCCAAAUGCCUAUGGACAGCAGUUUAGAAGGCGACACCGAAGCGAGUGGGGAAUCCUACACAAAGCACAAAAGACAAGAACAAGUGCCAAAAUCUCGUGUGAAGGAUACCAAGGCACAGUUUAGGAAAAAACAGCUGGACCUUUUGUUUCCUCCUGAAGCAUGAAAGGGAGGAGAUUGUCUUCGGCAAGAAGUUGUGAGGCUGCGCAAGAUCUUCAAAGCAGAUUUCUUCAGCCACUCCUCGUCCAGAAGUAUCCAUUUAAGGAGGUUGACCUCGCGGUAAAAAUUGCGGACAUCGUGAAGGUACCGACGCCACCAACUCAGCAGCUAACACCACCACCUCAGCAGCCAAAUGAGGAAGGUUAACUGUAGAGGGCUCACCUCACUUGACGAUUUAAAUAAAGUGUGUUUGUGUUUGACAACUGCCUUUG